rnacentral:rRNA from 1 species
UUCCGUGAUCCUGCCGGACCCGACUGCUAUUUGGGUGAGAAUAAGCAUGCGAGUUGAAUGGGAUACCUAAAGUUCCCAUAGCAAACUGCUCAGUAACACAUGAUCAACUUACCCUAUAGAGAAAAAUAACCUCGGGAAACUGAGGAUAAUAUUUCAUAAUUGAAUUGGCUUGGAAAAGUUUUUCAAUGAAAGGGAUAAAAAAAAAUAGUUUUUAUCUGCUAUAGGAUAGGAUCGUGUUCGAUUAUGGUUGUUGGUGAGAUAAUGGCUCACCAAGCCGAUAAUCGAUAGGGGCCAUAAGAGCGGGAGCCCCGAGAUGGAUACUGAGACAACGACCCAGGCCUUACGAGACGCAGCAGGCGCGGAACCUCCGCAAUACACGAAAGUGUGACGGGGUUACCCAAAGUGUUCAAUAGAACUGUGGUAGGUGAGUAAUGUCCCCUACUAGAAAGGAGAGGGCAAGGCUGGUGCCAGCCGCCGCGGUAAAACCAGCUCUUCAAGUGGUCGGGAUAAUUAUUGGGCUUAAAGUGUCCAUAGCCGGUUUAGUAAGUUCCUGGUAAAAUCGGGUAGCUUAACUAUCUGCAUGCUAGGAAUACUGCUAUACUAGAGGGCGGGAGAGGUCUGAGGUACUACAGGGGUAGGGGUGAAAUCUUAUAAUCCUUGUAGGACCACCAGUGGCGAGGCGUCAGACUGGAACGCGCCUGACGGUGAGGGACGAAAGCCAGGGGAGCGAACCGGAUUAGAUACCCGGGUAGUCCUGGCCGUAAACGAUGCAUACUAGGUGAUGGUACGGCCAUGAGCCGUAUCAGUGCCGUAGGGAAACCGUUAAGUAUGCCGCCUGGGAAGUACGGUCGCAAGGCUAAAACUUAAAGGAAUUGACGGGGGAGCACCACAAGGGGUGAAGCCUGCGGUUCAAUUGGACUCAACGCCGGU